GCUCGGGGAGGAACCUGCGGCGGCGGUUAGGGGCGGAACCUGAGAGUGAGGUGUCUGAUCGGGGCGGGGCCUUCGGGGGCUGAGUCGUCUGUGGGUGGAGCCAGCUCGGGCCGGGCCCUCCACCGCCCAUUACCACCGAGUGCGACCCGGGGUCCUAGAGCGGCCGCCGGAAGGGGCGGGUCAGCAGGCGGGCUCUUUCUGCGAGUGCUGAGGGCCAACCGGGACGCGGGCGCGGAGGGGUCGUGGGUCCCGCGAAGAGGGUGCGCCUUUCCCGUCCUCUGCCCCCGCGAGGGGCGCGCCCGCCCCGCCCCGCCCUCCGGCAGUCCUGGUAGGGCCCGGGAGCGUCCGCGCUCUGCAGCGGCAGGUCCUCAUCGCCCCUCGCCUCCAGCCAGGUACUCACUGGGCCCCCGCCCGUCGCCUCCGUCCCAGGUAGCGCGGCGUCGGGAUGGGCCCCGCGGUCUCCCCGCGCCCGGCCCUCCAGGGAGGGAGCGAAACCCGACUCUGAGCACCUCCCAGGCCCCGGCCCCGGCACCGAGGCCGACCUGGCUCCGCACGCUGGCCGCGGGACCUCUUAAGUAGGAGCACGCAGGAGACGCUGGCGGGCCCCUCCGCCUGGCUCAGAGGCCUGGGAUCUCAGGCCUUGGCACAGCUAGCUGGCCCCUGUUAGGCCGUACCUGCAGAGCUGCGCUUCUCCACCUCAGCCCUGCCCAUGAGGCAAACGGAGCUGGUCGACGGGUCUUUUGUGUUGGUUCUUGGUUCUCACCUUUGUUUCCUACCAGAGCUGGACCCCAGCCUCAAACUCCAGCCAGCUUGGGCCCCAGGGCUCCGCCUGCCCACCCCAGCAGAGAUGCUGCAUCCUCCCUCAGCACACGUGGCCUUCAGCUUUGGUUCUGACUCCACCCAUACACCACCUCUAGAGAGAGCCCUAGAAAGUGACGUUGGCCUGAAACUGAGUCACAUUCAUCUAAACAUUUUCCUGUAAAAAAGACCAGACUCUCCCCUUGUUGAGACAGGAAAUCUGUUUACAUGUUACCUGCACUCCUGAGGGAGAAGAGGAAAGGCCACAAACCUUGUCUCAACAAAGAGCAUUCAAGGUAUUUAUGUGUUGAAACAUGUCAUUUGCAACAUGUGUUUCAAUUCCAUUUUCCACUUAGGCUCAACCCUGGCUUCAAACUCUAGCCUGUUUAACAAAACAGCUAAUACAAAGGGUACGCAAUAAUUGUAUUACUUAGAAUACGACUGAGCAUGGUGGCUCACACCUGGACUCCCAGCUACGCAGGAAGCUGAGGUGGGAGGAUCGCUUAAACCCAGGAGCUUGAGCCUUCAGUGAGCUGCAGUCAUGCUGCUGCACUCUAGCCAAGACAUCAGGAAGAACCUGUCUCAAGAAGAGAAAGAACGCAGCUAUGGGCAAGGGGAUGGUGGCCCUUGGCCUCCUGCAGAGUGUUGGCCCCAUGCUGCGAGCGUGGAGAGGUGCGUGGGAAGCAAACCGUCCUUGAGGAAGUGGCGCCAGCAGAGAGAAGCCAGCAGCCCCCUAGCCCUCAACGCUUCCAAGGAACAGAGAACGAUGGAGAAAUCUGCAAGCAGAAGAAAAAGGACAGCAACCCCAAGGGAGGAAGCAGACGGGCAGAAGAGCGUGCUCAGAGAGGAGAAAGCGUCCAGGGAUAGGAAGCCACCUGAGAGACCCGCUGUGCCCAGGAAGCCCCGAGCAGAGCCCCGCCUGAGUCCUGAAGACGAAGAGCACAUCUUUGAUGCCUUCGAUGCUUCAUUUAAAGACGACUUUGAGGGGGUUCCCGUGUUCAUUCCUUUUCAGAGGAAGAAACCCUACGAGUGCGGUGAAUGCGGGCGGAUCUUUAAGCACAAGACAGACCACAUUCGCCAUCAGAGGGUCCACACCGGAGAGAAGCCCUUCACAUGUGCGCAGUGCGGGAAGGCCUUCCGACACAGCUCUGACGUCACCAAACACCAGCGGACUCACACGGGGGAGAAGCCCUUCAAAUGCGGGGAGUGCGGGAAAGCCUUUAACUGCGGCUCCAAUCUCCUGAAACACCAGAAGACGCACACCGGGGAGAAGCCAUAUGAGUGCGUGGACUGUGGGAAAGCCUUUGCCUACAGCUCCUGUCUCAUCCGUCAUCGGAAACGCCACCCUCGGAAGAAUCCCUGAGCUGGGGCCACCACCUGCAGACUCGGACGCCUGCUCCGUGGCUCCCUGGUGUUGGGCAUCUGGUGGAGGUGCUGGGCCAUGUGUGCUGUGUUCUGUGCUGUGGGGGACCCCCAGAAAAUCAGCCUGGUCAGAGGUGAGAAUGCCUGAGUGAGUGAGAGACCUUCCCACUGCAGAGAAUCUCUAGAUCAAGACGCUGCAGUCAUGUGGAAGCCACCAGAGGCUCAUCAGGUGUAUUCACUGCCAUCCACGGGAUGGGCUUGGGUCACCUCACAGUGCCCAGCAGGAGAGGCUCCUGGUGUGCUGGGCACCCACCACUUCCCGCUGCUGCCUGCCUGUAACAUCCACUCUGCUUAAGCCUUUUAUCUGCCCCUGAAGGCCCCAGUCUGUGGACUCCCCACCUGCUGGGGCCCCAAGCCCUGCAGCAAGCCCCAGGACCACUCCUCUCUGCCUUGCCAGCUUCAGAGCCCGGGGCCACUCGUCCCUGCCUGGCCAGCUUCAGAGCCUGAGGCUGCUCGUCCCUGCCUUGCCUUUGUGCCCAAACUGUGCUUGGUUCUCUGGCUUCUCUCCUCUGACUGGAGCACCAGUCCCUGAGCUCAGACCCCCGUCCCCAGAACUGGGCCACACGACGUGCCCUCUUGGCCCAUCCUUCAUCCCAGACAGGCUGCCUGACUUACCUGGAUGGACUUCUUGGGACAAAGGCUCCUCAGGACCUUGGACACCGCUACUGGCUGAGUUUCCUGCCCCAGCCACCUGGUGAGGCCCCCGGGGUGCCCUCGGCAGCUCAGUCCAGCCUGCGUCUGCCACUCGGUCUUCCAAUGUGGGCAGUGGGCCCCAGCCCCACGAACCAGCCCAUCAUUCAGGUCCAAUAGGAUGGACCCCAGAUGUGGAAUGACACCUCACCAAGUGCCAGCCCCAGGUCCUGCCCACAGAGAUGCCUGCAGCAGCGCACAGCUGGCAGGGCCACCUCUGCCUCUCUAGUAGCGGGCAGGCUGGUAGAGCAGAUUAGCCCCAAAGCAGGAAAUUCCAGAUGAAAUAUGCCUAAGAAGCAACCUCAAAACUAACAAAAAGAAACUGCCUGCUCUUCAGUUCGGAGGAGGAGCAGAGAUGAAGAAAAAGAGAAGAAACACACUCGGAAAAGAGAAAAGGAACCUCCUGUGCGGCGGGCUCCUGCCCUGGGAGGGCGGCCUGCAGCAGAGUGCAUGCAGGGAGGCACCCGCUGAAACGCCUGGAAAUAGCUUCAGGGCUUUCAUUUGGCUCCCAAACUACUUCUGAGGCCCAAUCAUCACAGUGGCCAACCUGGCAGCAGUGAGCUCGGCACUCAGUGUCCUCAGGCUGCUACAAAGCCGUCCUACUUGGGCAGUGGGUGUGGGCGGGGGCUCCUGACUCCAGUGAGGCCACCCUGGAGGGGAGUCCCAGGAAUCAACCUGAUGUUCAGAAGUGUACUGGGGAGGCUGAGGAUCCUUGAGCCAAGUGUCCGUGUUCUCAUUGAACAUUUAACACACAGCCCACAAGCUUCUCAGGAGCAUGGCGCAUGCACACCAGCCCCAGGCUUCGCCUGGGCAGCACUUCCUGGGCCGCCCUGACCAGUGGGCACCACCCACCCAGCCUCGCUCAGCCGUCCUCGGCCACCCUGACCAGCAGGCACCACCCUCCCAGCCUCAUUCGGCUGGCCAGGCUCUGCGGGCCUGAGAAUGCAGAGAACCUCCAAAUGUUGUGACUUUGCUCUGUGCGUCCUUUGUGCAAGCAUUUGUGAGCUAUGCCAGCAUCUGUCCCCACAGGCCUCAUCCCUGAGCCAUUUCUCAGGAGAGCAGUAAGAGGGGGUUCCCAGCCAGCCCCAGGACCAGAGGUCUGGGGACGACACCGGCCACUACGGCAGAGCCCUCCUCAUCUGGGCCUUUGUUUCCUUUUCCACACCAGGAAGCAGGAAGGUCGAUUAGCAAUGUAGGCUUGUUCCCUCUGGUGGGGUUCACCUGCGUUUCUGGGGAGCCCUGGGUGCACCUGGGCUCUAUUUCCGGUGAUCUCUCCUAUGGGUCCCGUCUUGGGCACCAAGAUGUUUUUUUCCUGUGAGCUGAUGUCAAAACCUGCUGUAGUGGAAGACUGGCCUUGGGGGCAGUGUCUCCAGGGGAGCAGAGCUGAGGCAAUGGCGGGCAUGGUGUCUCCAGAGACUAGGGAACAUGGGGUGUGCUCCAGAUGAGCCGGCAGGGAGCCCCGGGCCUGCAGAGCCUGGUGUUGGCGCUCUCCUGUUUCCUCCGAAAACCCAGCCAUGUGUUCAGGGAGCCCGGCCCAAGCAGACGGCCCCCACAUUGGCAGAAUCCCCAGGAUCAGGCAUGGCGGUGGGGGCGACUCCACAGCCGGGACUGGGCCUGAUGCUGCUGUCCCUCUGUCACCACUGCAGGUAGCUCAGGGCAGGGCUCCGGCCUGAUGGGGGAUCCUGGACGCACCUCUGAGCCGGCAGCCCCUACCCCCACCUGCACGCCGGCACCUUACAUGCCUGUCUCACUCUGGGGCCCAGGUGCAGGUUUGUGGGGACGCAGCACCGUGUUCCCAUGACCUCUGCUCAGCCGAGUGGGUUCACUGAGGGUUUUCCGUUGGCGCCUGUCCCCGUGUGCCUGUUUCCUGGUGAGGCUGGACGCCCGGCACGUCCAAACACUCACAUUCCCCAGGCACACAUGUGCAGUGGCCACCACGCGUGCACUGUGAUGCUGACCCCCCAUAACAGCCGCGGUCUUGGCCUUGCGCUGGUGGCAAAUGUUGUCCCGUUUCCCACUGUUACUUCUGUUGUCCAAAAGUUUGACCGUCCUGCCAGCCAAAGCUGUUGAGCUUUACUCUGACAGACCAUCCGUCCUUUCAGUACCCUGUGCAUUUGGGAAAAGCAUCCAUUUGUUCUCAGCCGCGUUUCCUGUGACUUGCUCUGCGUGUGUCCUCCUCUGUUUUCGGGGGUCACUGUGGUGGUUCCCAGGGGGCCCGAGGUGCCCACUGCUGAUGCCUCCCUUCCCUGCUGCUUGCUGGCUUCUGUGUUCUCUGCAGUAAACAUUGAUUUCUGACUCGA